GGGCCCGCACAAGCGGUGGAGUAUGUGGUUUAAUUCGAUGCAACGCGAAGAACCUUACCAGGGUUUGACAUCCUGCGAAUUUCUGGGAAACCGGAAAGUGCCUUCGGGAACGCAGUGACAGGUGGUGCAUGGCUGUCGUCAGCUCGUGUCGUGAGAUGUUGGGUUAAGUCCCGCAACGAGCGCAACCCACGUCUUUAGUUGCCAGCAUUUAGUUGGGCACUCUAGAGAGACCGCCGGUGAUAAACCGGAGGAAGGUGUGGAUGACGUCAAGUCAUCAUGCCCCUUACAUCCUGGGCUACACACGUACUACAAUGCUACGGACAAAGAGCAGCAAGUUCGCGAGGACAAGCAAAUCUCAUAAACCGUGGCUCAGUUCAGAUCGUAGGCUGCAACUCGCCUACGUGAAGGAGGAAUCGCUAGUAAUCGC
rnacentral:rRNA from 1 species